AUUGAACGCUGGCGGCAUGCCUUACACAUGCAAGUCGAACGGCAGCACGGGAGCAAUCCUGGUGGCGAGUGGCGAACGGGUGAGUAAUAUAUCGGAACGUGCCCAGUCGUGGGGAUAACGUAGCGAAAGCUACGCUAAUACCGCAUACGAUCUAUGGAUGAAAGCGGGGGAUCGCAAGACCUCGCGCGAUUGGAGCGGCCGAUAUCAGAUUAGGUAGUUGGUGAGGUAAAGGGCGUCACCAAGCCGACGAUCUGUAGCUGGUCUGAGAGGACGACCAGCCACACUGGGACUGAGACACGGCCCAGACUCCUACGGGAGGCAGCAGUGGGGAA
rnacentral:rRNA from 1 species